UUUUUUUUUUUUUUUUUUUUUUUUAAAAAAAAACAUUUGUCCCUAAUACUUUAUUGGUAACCAAAAGGCCUGCACCCAGCUAUGUGCAUUCCAGGGAAGGGGGACACCAUUCACCAGCUCCCAGCUAGGAGCUUGAAAAGGCCUUGACCUAGCCCUCUAGGAUUAUGGACUCUGGAGUCUUAAGGGGCUGGUCUGGCCUCACCUGGGUCGGUACAGGGCACCGAGGCAGGGUGCACAGAUAGAGGCCAGAAGCCCAAGCUUACCAUCCAUCUGCCAGCCUAGUUGUGUUUGGAGAAAUAUUUCUUGCUGUCGCCCAUGUUGGGCUUGAUUGUGUCACUGCCUGGCUUCCAGCCAGCAGGACAGACUUGAAGGCUUGGAUCAGCUACAGAGCUUCAGAGCUUCAUCCACGGAGUGUCCCACAGGCAAAUCAUUGACCAUGAUCUGGCAAAGGACACCCUUGCGGUGGAUGAUAAAAAGGCCCCUGUAGGCGAUAUCUUCAUUGUCCUUUGGCACUCCAUGGUCAGGGGACAAGUUUCUGGUUACAUCAGCCAGCAGGGGGAUGUUCAGGGGGCCCAAGCCUCCCUCCUUCCGGGGGGUGUUGAUCCAAGGCAGGUGGGUAAACUGAGAGUCGACGGAGACACCCAGCACCUCGCAGCCUAGGUUGUGGAACUCCUCAGCUCAAUUCCUGAAAGUGAUAUGUGUGGGGCAUACAAAGAUGAAAUCCAGCGGGUAAGAAAAGAGGACCAAGUACUCCCUUUGGAGUCAGAAAGCUUCUCCUCCUUGAAGGCGCCAUUCCCCACAGCAGUGGCCUGGAAUUCUAGGGUGGGCUUUCCUAUGUGCUGGUUGCCAGACCCAUGACAGAAAGCUGCGUGGACAAGGGUGGGACACACCUACAGCGAGUCUCGAGCAUUCAUGUUUAGGGCUGCCCCCCAGCCAUAUAGAAGUUCCCAGACCAGGGGUCAAAUUAAAGCUGCAGCUUCUGGCCUGUGUCACAGCCUCAGCAACGCCAGAUCCGAGCUGCAUCUGUGACCUAUACCACAGCUCAUGGCAACACCAGAUCCAUAACCCACUGAGUGGGGACAGGAUUUGAACCCACAUCCUCAUAGAUACUAGUUGGGUUCAUUACUGUUGAACUAUCAGGGGAACUCCAUAUUAUUCCUAUUUUAAGGAUGAGAAAACUGAGGUUCUGAAGUUAAAUAGUCUAUUUGAGAUCCCACAGUCUCUAAAGCUAAGCCAUAUUAGAACCUCAAGCAUGCUACAAAUCUCAUGCUUUUUUUUCAAUUAUUUGAUAAGAAUAUAAAAUCAUGCUAUUUUUUAAUGAGUUAUAAUUCAGUUUUAUACCUAGAAGCAAGGGAUUUUAGAGGUUUGGAAGAAACUUAAAAGAUCAUUACUUCACAAAUUAGGAAAUUUGUCCAUAGGAUGUUGUUUAUCCAUUUGUUUUAUAAAUGAUAACAGUGUUCAAGCAUUUUAUGUCAGCUUUUGCAAUAUUUUAUUUUAUUUUUUUCAGCAGAUUUUUAGCUUUCCAGUUAUUUUUCCCUAAUAUUUAAACAAAUUCAUAUUUCUUAAAAAUACAAACUCACAGUAAAGAAAGGAGGUUAUAAAAGAGGUAAAGAUGCAGGAAAACAGAAUAUUUUAUUCAUAUUUUGUUACGAAAUUCCAUUUGGUAACCUUCUGCUUUAUAACAACAAAAAUCAACAUCUCUGUCUUUGAAAAAUCAUCAGGUUCUCACUUCCUAAUAAAUAAGUACACAUUCCUGGUAGGUUUUUUUUUUUUUAAUGUUAUUAUACACUUCCUUGAAACUUGUAUAUUUACUCUUAGAGAGAUUGAGCAUGUCAUGUAUUGAGUUAAUGCAGUGUAGGAAGGACAGGGGACUCUAACUGAAGGUAGAGUUGGAUUUUCUAUAUCUACCCCUAGGUGUUCAGUUUGUAGUUUCUUGCCCCUUCUUCAGUAUCUCUCACAUUAUAAAAUACAGGAUAAGGAAAUAGGUUUAACCUCUUUGAAGUCUUAUUUCCAUUGCUGUGGAAAAGGGAUUGCUCUGGUUUCCUAUUUCUUGGGUAUGAUCUUGUUGAUGUUCGAUUGAGGCCCUGUCUCAUCUCCUCUCCUCAAAAGGCUGUGUCCUUAGGAUAUUUUGAGUUGAACUUUUGAGCCUUCAUCUAAUGUAGGUUUAAGUUUUUUGAAGGGAAGACCAAUCAUGAGUUUGUUGCCAAUCCUUCUCCCACUCACAGCAUUUUUGUCUCUUAAGUACUGGGAGACUAGGAGUAAUAUUUCUCUGCUUUUUUUGGCUUGGUGCCCCACUUUUCCAUACAGCCCAAGAAUUCACUAAUGUCUCUAGGGGAAACUGGCUUUGCAUUUUAGGGUACAUCUCAUUUCCAGUCCAUUGGGCCAGACUGUACAAUCUAUGAAAGCUCUCUUGAUUUCCCCAAAAGAGUAGCACUGGUUGUGCCAAGCCUGAUUCUUAACUGACCCCUUGAAUCACAAAGACAGAAAAUGGCCAGUAUAUAAUUAUCAAAUGAUUUAGAAAGGACUCUUUCUUUUCUAAAGAAAUUCCUUUCUGGAUUUUAUUUCAUCUAGCCUUUAUUGCUUCCACUGAUUUCUGAUAUUUUAAAAAAUAAUUCUUUUCUUUUUCAAUUUAUGCAUUUCUAUUUGUGAUGGGAAUGUUGGCUUGAAUGUUGAUAUGCUACCCAGAAAUAUAUGUCUCCAAUUGCCUUUACUUUACAUAAAGAUUUAUGUUGUUUUGCAUGUUGGGAGGGAAAGAAUGGUGUUAUUGUUACUAUCUUGUUCUUUAACUUAAAAAAAAAUGUUUUUCAUAUUUGGAAUUGAAGAAAUUAUAUUUUAAGGACAUUGUAUUCAUCUUAUGUUUUUGCCAUGAGUGGAAGGAUUUACAAAUUGAUGUCACUUAAUUAAGUAAAGAUACAUAUGCUCACUGAUCCCAAGUAGAAAGAGCAUUAGAUUUAAAGUUUAGAGAUCGAAACUUGAAAGUCCUGUCAUUACCCUUACUAGUUGUGUGACCUUGGACAAACCAUUUAAUUUCUAUAAGUCUGUGUACUUAGUCUGUAAAAUGGAAAUACAUCUCAAUUCAUGUUUUAUUGAACAAAGCGAGGUAUAAACAAAAACAAAAUAUAUUUUGGAUAUAUCUCAUGAAGAUUUAAUAGAGUAAAAUGACUAUUUCCUAGACCUUUGAACCAGAGAGUAUUUGAGCUGGAGAAAAUUUUGUUGUAGAUUACGUUGGCUGUUCAAGGCUGAUAAUCUAGUUAGUAGCUUAAGAUACCUUGAAUGUCAUAGCAUGUUAUUCUACAAGUUACAAAUUCUUGGAGCGAUCAUGAUGUUGAAGGCCAUUCAGAUCCCAUCUCCACCAUUUCCUAGAGUGGCUUUAAGUUUCUCAACCUCACUAAGAUGCAAUUUUCAUAUGUAAAAUAAAUUAUACAAGCUGCCUUAUAGGUUGAUUAUGAAGAUUAAAUAAUGUAACAGAAGGAAUACACAUAGCAUAGGGUCAGAUCCCAAAUGAGGACCAACUGAUACUAUUUGUGUGUGUGUGUGUGUCUUUUUAUGACCGUACCUGUGGUGGCAGGCUAGGGGUUGAAUUGAAGCUGCAGCUGCCAGCCUACAGCAAUGCAGGAUUUGAGCUGCAUCUGUGAUCUAGGUUGCACCUUGCAGCAAGGCCAAAUCCUUAACCCACUGAGUGAGGCCAGGGGUCUAAUCUGCAUCCUCAUGGAUACUAGUCAGGUUCUUAAACCACUGAGCCACAAUGGGAAUUCCAACAGAUAUUUUUUACUCCUUUUUGUUUCUCUAGUUGUCCAUUGUAAUCAAUCAGCAGGUAGGAGUUCCUUCUGUGGCACAUUGGGUUUAGGAUUUGGCAUUGCCACAGCUGCUGCAUAGGUCAAAGCUGCUGCUUGGAUUUGAUUCCUGGCCUGGGAAUUUGCAUAUGCUGUGAGUGCGGUUGGUCCUAGCCAGUGAUUCUUCCUUGUGUAAUUAAUAUAGGUUUUUAAAACCCCUAGUAGUAAUAGGUUUGAUUGCAUUUGCUUAGGGAAAUUCACUUGUCUUUAUGAAUAAUUUUUCUAAUUUUCUGCUGUAAUCGAACUCAGUUUUAGUGUUUUGAGAUAUUAUCGUAUUUUUUGAAAUAUUCUCAGAGGUUUGUGGAUAACCCCUUAAAAUUGUGUGCAGCAUUGUAUAUAUUGGUACAUAAAUGCUUUUUUCAUCAUUCACAAAGUAGUCAGAGUAACCUUAAAAAGUUAAGAACCAUUAGCAUAUGUCAUAAAUUCUUGAUUAAAUUUGUAUUCAAGCUUACCUCAUUUAAGAUUAGUACCUGUUAAGUCACUGCUCAGUACUACAUUCAGAGGACAUUUUUGAUACACAAAAUCCACAGUGGUUUAGCUUAUCUUCAUCUAUAAAUAGUACUUGUAACAAAUAGUAUGAAAAGGAUUGUUUCAAAUACAUUUUGGUGGAUUUUUAGUUUAUCUAGAUUACUUAAGAUUACUUAAAAGCUAAUAUUAUGUGAAAUUUUUAAAAGGGCGCUUUAAGUACAGGAAGGGAAUUUGUUUAAAAAUCUUUUUGAGAAAUCUAAUCAUAUUCUAGUUUGUCUUUUGGUGAACCUAGAUUUUUUUUAUGUAUCAUAAUACUGAGAUAUGCCAUUUAAUUUUCUGUAUAUAACUAUAAGAUUUAUAUAAAUCUGGAACAGAAGUGAAUCAAGUAGUUUUUUAAGUUUAUAUUUAAAAUUUUAUGAUUUCCUUCUAAUGACUUAUAACUAAGAACAUUUCGUUUCACUCAUUGUAAUGAUUUUAAUUUGCAUAGAUGUCAAAAGGGAAGCAUAGUUCUUAUUUAAAAAAUACUUAAAAAAUACGUACAAAGCAUUAUUCUAGUUAAAGCUUAAAGCUUAAUUAAAGCAUUAUAAAUGUAGUUAAAAAUUAAAACUUGUUUUAAAUAAGAAACUGAACAUUUGAAAUUGCACUUUGGUCUUCUGUGAUGUUAUGAAUAAGUCCUUUUCAAAAAAGCUUUACUGAACUUUUACAAAUAGUUAUUAGUGAGAUUCUAUUUAUACAUUUUGUUAAUAUAUUUCAGCAUCUUUAUGUUCUAAAGACUGGUAAGAGUGUUAUUUCUUUGGGGAAAAUUCAGAGAAAUACUGUUACAGCAUCCAUUUAACAUUUUUCCUUUGGUUUUGAGUACUGUAAAAUCCUUGAGAUUUCUGUAGAUUUUGUAAGGAACUUCUAGAAAACCUCUUCUUUGAAAAACCACUUUUUCAGACAAUUGAUUGUGGGUAAAUGAAUCAUUGGUAAUGAGCGUACUGUUAAGUACUAGUGGUAGCAAAGUAGGGAAGUGAUACAUUGAAGAUUUUCUGAAUGAUUCCUUAUUGAUCUGAAAGAUUUGUAUCUAGUGGCAGAUAAUUUGUUUAUAGGGAAUAAUAAUUUAUUCCUUAUAAAGUUAUGAUAUUUAUAAAAAAUUACAAAAAUGCUUCUUAUUAGUCAAAUUUGAAUUUUCAGAAUACCCUGAAUUUCAAUUGCAGUAGCUUACUAGGUGUUUCAUAUGUAUUUGACUAUUGUAAGCUUACUUUAGAUGCUUUUUUGGAAAUUUAUAGUGAUACAUCAUUACUAAUGUUAAUUAUUUAUUGAUUAGCUAUUUUGUGAAUUGUCCAGGCCAUUUGACCUCUUGCAGUUUUCAUAUCUUGACUUAAUUUCCACAAUUCUACCAGAAAUUUAAAAGGAACCACAGAAAGCCAAAUUUCCUAUCCUGCUGUUACUGUACUUGUUACUCAAGUUGUCUAUUUAAUACAUAAGUUUUUUAUAAUUGAAAUGAAAUUUUUGAAUCUAUUUUCACUUAACAUUGCUGAAUGGCUAUAUUAGACAUAGUUUUCCAGUGAGAAAAAUAUAAUUAGCAAAUGAGGAAAAGUGUGAAUAAAAAAAUUAAAGGGAGGUCUGUGAUCAGGGUAGAAGUCCAGAUGCUUAGAACAAUCCUUUUCCCAAGUUAGUUGACAUGAUGUUAUUCUUAUAAAAAAAACUUAUCUUAUUUUGAUUACAUGAUGUGGAUUGGUGAUCUUGGUCCUUUUAAUUAAGGAUAAGAAUCCAUGAUAAAAAUUAGAUUUUUCGAUGAUCAUCGUAUACAGAAGGACUGAGGAUUCAUUGGUUAAGAACCGCUAACCUGUCCUCUUGCCCCUAGGGUGUGAGCACUGAAAGGGAUUAAGGCCCACUGUAGGGAAGCUUGCACGGAAGCCUGCACUGCCCUUUCCCCUGUUCUUUCAGUUAAAUAGAAGAUUUUCAGUUCCCAUGACUAUCAAUCUGGUGCUUUUCACAAGCACCAAAUUCUUUUAAGAAAAUUAAGAUGACUUAUUUUUAGAAAUCUAUUGGCCUAGGAUACUGCAAGAUGAUUCUUUUGGUAUUUCAUCUUGACAGAUCCUAUACAUACUGUUUUUUUCUGAUGGAUAUUAGUUUGUUUUAAUUUAUGUUAAAUUUGUUGAUAAAUAUAGACUUUUAAAAAUCAAGGACACAUUUUUAUGUGGUUGGUUUUUUUUUUGUCCAUUAGUAAUUAUAGAGUUUGGCAGUGUUGAAUCUUAUAUUUCAUUAGAAGUAGCUAUCUGACAACCAUGUGGACAUAAACUCUUAACUUUUCUUUCUAGAUUACUGCAAUAAUAAGGUGCUUUCUCUUAAAAGUUUAAAGGCCUUUAAAUAGCUUUUGUAAAUGCUAAAGCGUUGUGUAUUUUUUCAAUAUCUGCCAAAUUGGUACUGUAUUUAAUCUGAAAAUAUCUUUUGAUUUUGUUAACUAAAAAUAAUUGCAAAGUAAGUAUUAAACAUUCUCAGUAGUUAAAGCUUUUUUUUUUUCCAUUUAAUUUGAGCUUUUGUUGUUACUAACAAAUAAUUUGUGGCACAGUUUCUUUUCUUUCUUUCUUUCUUUCUUUCUUUCUUUCUUUCUUUCUUUCUUUCUUUCUUUCUUUCUUUCUUUCUUUCAAUGACUGUUACAAUCUAUAUACUUGUCACCUUAGUGUGCUAGAAAUGUUCCACUCAGAUCAAGGGUUCCUUUCUGGUUUUGUAUGUUCUCACCUGCUCCUCACUGUAAAUCAUUGAGAUGUCAAGUGCAAUGAUUAAUUAAGCUGCACGUGCAAGUGCUUUUUUUUCCUUCACCUGUCAAGCAGGAAAGAAGUCUUAUAGCAAGAUUAGAUGAUGCUAAUUCGCAGCUAUUACUCCAGAUUGUCAAGUGCGAGGAAAUAUUUUAUAUUUACAUGCUUAUUUAGAAUAUGGCAUACUACAGUUUUGUUUGGUUUAGAAUUCUUAAAUAUUGUAAGAUACAAUUAUUCUAUCAAACCCUAUCAUUAAACUCCCAAUUAGAGGCAAAGGAAAAAGCCUAAAUUUCUGCAUAAAUAUUUUGGAAUUUAAGGUUCACACUUUAUAAUUAACAUUACCUUUUAUUCAAGUCCUAGUAGUUGAUUUGAAUUAUUUAUAGUAAAUAUUUUAAGUGUCUAAAUUGAUGUGUAUGUGUCAUAUACACCAUUAAAUCCAUUCAUAAUAAUAUUUGUUA
ensembl:lncRNA